CCUGGAAUCCGCACACUUGAAAGUCAAAGAGUCCACGGUUGCAGAUUAAAAGGAACCAUGGCUGCACACAUCGACAGAGACAGCAUGUGCCUUUGGUUGAUUUCUGAACUCUGGACACAGCAGUACCCAAAGGAGUCAAGUAGAAAAGAAAACACAAUGGCAGCGAUCAAAAGGCACUUCUCAUCAGAAAGCACAGAUUACAUAUUCAACCCACACGAUCAGGAAAGAACCACGGAGUUGCUGUUUUAAAGGCCCCAUGCUUCAUUUUGCAGCCGUCCAAGUCAAAAUGGUCUAAUGAGGAAGGACUCCACUUUGACACUGACAUGACUAACUAGAGGAUGUCUACCUUAGCUCCCUGUGAAUAGAUCUACCCUUCAGUUCAUGUUUUACACCAAGCCCAUGGAAUUACAGAUGAAGAAUGACAAGCUGGGUGAUGGCACCACAGAGCAUCUUCUGGUACCUUGUCGGGUUUCCUGUCAAACUGGCAUGGGAGUAAGAAAGUGACAAGAAUGGGAGAAGACCACACAGGUACAUCCAUCAGCAGGUCUGAAGUCACACUGUGGACUCCUAGACAUAAGACAUGAUGUCAUUCCCAAGGAUGGGGAAUCUGGGGUUUUCACCCACCAGCUCCCAUACAGUAUUGGCUACAGAUGAAAGCCAGGGCAAUAGACCUUGAUCUUCUCCCUAGUAGGCUGGUGGGUCCUGAAGUCAGAGAAUCUCAUACUACAGCAAUCGCCAUCCUUCAGAUCAAAGGGUAAGUGAGUACCCAAGGGUGCAGGCUCUAUACUUGAGACAUCUGACACCAAGAUGCUCCACCUAUGAUGGUUACUCAAAAGUGAAGGCAGCCGACUAACCGCAUAUGCAGGUAAUAGCCCUGUCCUACACCCUGAGAUUAUCUAAGUGAUGGACAUAUCAAACUCGUAUCAUACUUUAACUUGGAGCAUGGUAGAUAAAAGUUAUGUUAAAAUAUACAAAGGAAAGCAAGUGGGAUAAUGAGGCCAGCUGGGCACCGGGUCAUAGCCAUGUGCAGGGGCAAAAGACCAGACUGAAAACCCUAUCAGAUAGUUUUUCACACUGAGGAAGAAUGGAUUGAUUUACCAAGGAACACAGAAUUCUAGGGUGACCAUGACUUGUUUUGAUGACACCAAAAUUUAUUCCUGAGAGACUAGAUUAUAGAUGGGGAACCCUAAGGAGCUAAGAGGAAAAAGACACCAAUUCAAUUUUUUAAAGGGCAGGGAAAAAAGUCAUUUUGAAGGAAGUGGUCUUUAGCUGGUACUAAAUUAUCUUCUGAUAUUCUGAUGAGUUUCAGCCCUCUGGAGGCAUAAAUAGUAUAUCUGUGAAGAAUGUGGGAAUUUAACUACCUCCACAGAAAGCACCCAGUCAGCAGACAUUUACUAAAUAUCUUCCAUUGGUGACACCCUGGGCAAAUAUUUCAAGAGGAAAAUAUCUCCAGGCAUUCCUGGUUCCAGAAGGCUUUAGUCACAUUUCAAAGCAGGAAAGACCUCUGCUCAAAGACAUUGCAGUACCAUCAACAACAUCUUAAUUGACCCAACUAAGAAAAACUCCAGGCUUCUAAUGGAGAGAGGCCAAUGAUGCUGUAAAAAUAGAAUUUGAAUGAUAGAAUUGUCCCCCGAAGGCAGAAUGAUCCAGGAGAAUGGGGUCUCGAGUGCCAAGGUUGAAGUACUUGGGAAAGUUAGGGAUGGUAGGCUGUAGUUUCUUUCCUUCAGUAUUGAAGUUUCCUUCUUUGGUGUGUUCUUUCAGUGUCUGUAGCGAAGACACGAAGCAUUAGGAUAUAAAUGGAUAGCAAUUUAUUCCAUGAUGCACGGUGAUCAUGAUGUGGUGCGCUAUUGAAGGAUAACAAGAGUCACUUAAACCCUUGUUUCCACUACUUCGUUUACUACUCAUGUGAAUUGAAUCCUAGAGCACGGCCACUAUAACCCUCACUUUCUCUCUUUGUCAAAUGGAGGUGAAUAUAAAUGUGUACUGGGGACAUAUACAUAGCAGCCAGACACACAGGACAUGAGGUUGACCCUCAGGUAUUCUCCAUGCACAACCUCAGGCACUCAAGCCAUUACUCCACUCUCACUUCAAAUGUAUCAACUAGAUAUUGAGAAAACAUUUUAGGAAUAUGUUAUUUAAAAACAUUUUACUGUUUUAUGUAUUAGAAAUUUAUUUAUAAGAAUCGAAAUUAGGAAAAAAAUAGACAGUUCACCUGGCUUCGUUUUAUUGGCAUUAAGUUGACCAGGAAAUUUCUUAAAAGCAGUCCAACCUAAAGAGAUCUGGAAGACCAAAUCAUAAAAAAAGCAAUGCUUACAAGAAAGGAAAAGUGAACCUAUCCCCAUUAAAAAUUAUCACUCAAGAUUCAUUCAUUCACUCACUCAUUCAUUUAUUCAUCCAUCCAUCCAUUUCUCAGAUCAGUGAACCAGUACAGCCAGUAGGAGAAGAAUCUGAAUGAAUAUAAUAAAGAUGCACGGCCUCAACCAAGCCACCACAGCAUCAGCAACACCCAUAGAUGUC